GUGAGCACGUGAAGGACUGGCUAAUUGAGGAUGCAACUCUAGGACCAAAGGCAUUGCGAAAGAAGCUUAAAGAGCAUCAUGGAAUCGACAUCAACUCUAAGAGAGUCUAUAUGGAGGACCACCAAAGAAGAGGGCAAAGACCACCAAAGCAUCAAUUGUGCCUUGCGAGGAUGAUGCUCCAGCAGCCUCUAUGUGCUUUCCGCCAAGCCAAAGCUUGGAACCUACAACUACGAAAAAGAGAAAACAUGAUAACUCAAUUACUGGAGCAUCAAAAAGCCAAAUGUUGGAGAAAACAACUAAGGAAAAAGGGAAAGGGAGUAAA